GAAGGCAUAGCUCAGUGAUAGAGUGUGCUUAGCAUGCAUGAGGUCCUGGGUUCAAUCCCCAGUAUCUCCA
rnacentral:tRNA from 1 species